rnacentral:rRNA from 1 species
CGCUUUCACUCCUACGGGAGGCAGCAGUGGGGAAUAUUGCACAAUGGGGGAAACCCUGAUGCAGCCAUGCCGCGUGUGUGAAGAAGGCCUUCGGGUUGUAAAGCACUUUCAGUAGGGAGGAAGGUAGUGUAGUUAACACCUGCACUAUUUGACGUUACCUACAGAAGAAGCACCGGCUAACUCCGUGCCAGCAGCCGCGGUAAUACGGAGGGUGCGAGCGUUAAUCGGAAUUACUGGGCGUAAAAGCGCAUGCAGGCGGCCUGUUAAGUCAGAUGUGAAAGCCCGGGGCUUAACCUCGGAAUUGCAUUUGAAACUGGCAGGCUAGAGUCUUGUAGAGGGGGUAGAAUUUCAGGUGUAGCGGUGAAAUGCGUAGAGAUCUGAAGGAAUACCAGUGGCGAAGGCGGCCCCCUGGACAAAGACUGACGCUCAGAUGCGAAAGCGUGGGGAGCAAACAGGAUUAGAUACCCUGGUAG